UACGGAGGGGGCGAGCGUUAUUCGGAAUUAUUGGGCGUAAAGGGCGCGUAGGCGGCUGUACAAGUCAAAGGUGAAAUCCCUCGGCUCAACUGAGGAACUGCCUUUGAAACUGUACGGCUUGAGGCCGGGAGGGGGUAGCGGAAUUCCCAGUGUAGCGGUGAAAUGCGUAGAUACUGGGAGGAACACCAGUGGCGAGGGCGGCUACCUGGACCGGUUCUGACGCUGAGGCGCGAAAGCGUGGGUAGCAAACAGG
rnacentral:rRNA from 1 species